GAAUGAGUUUCAACUCCUACCUACAAAAGGAGAAGCAGUUUACUUCCAGAGCCUUCAGUCUUCUCUUCCAACACCAGGGAGAAGUGCUCGAUGCAUCGAAGCGACAGCUUCUCCUGCAGGGUCAGGAUCACUUCCUAAAAGCAGAAGACAAAAACUUUUKUGGAAUGAUGAGGACAGAAGACAUCGAUGGAUAGUAGCCAUCAACAGUAAGGACUGACAGCCCUCGGAUUUUCCAUAGGUUUGCAGCC